UAACCGGAACUGUUUGUUGGUGACUCUAAAUAACUUUGUGUUGAUCGUAUGACCUUCGUGUCGACGACAUAUCUUUCAAGUGUCUGACUUAUCAACUUUAGACGGUACAUUAUAUGUCUACCGUGGUUGCAACGAGUACAGAGAAUCAGGGUUUGGUUCUGGAGAGGCCGCCUGAGAAACGGCGACCACUUCCAAGGAAGGCAGCAGGCGCGCAAAUUACCCACUCUCAAAACGAGGAGGUAGUGAAGAGAAAUAACGAUGUUAGUCUUUUAUAGGCUGAUAAUCGGAAUGGAAACACUGUAAACAGGUUAUUGAUUAACAAUUGGAGGGCAAGUCUGGUGCCAGCAGCCGCGGUAAUUCCAGCUCCAAUAAGGAAAACUAAAGUUGCUGUGUUUAAAAAGCUCGUAGUUGAAUUUCGGGUAUUUGUUGCUAGCUGGUCUAACUGGCCAUGUUGGUUAACAGAUCCUCAUUUGCUGGACGGCUGGCGAUGAUCUUUAUCGGUUGUCGUCAGUUGCCAGAACGUUUACUUUGAGAAAAUUAGAGUGCUAAAAGCAGGCUCACGCCUAUAUAUAUUGCAUGGAAUAAUGAAAUAAGAUCUCGAUUUUAUUUCGUUGGUUUUAGAAAUUGAGAUAAUGAUUAAUAGGAUCAGAGGGGGGCGUACGUACUGUGGUGUGAGAGGUGAAAUUCUUGGAUCGCCACAGGACGAACAGCAGCGAAGGCGUUCGCCAAGAAUGUUUUCAUUAAUCAAGAACGAAAGUUUGAGGUUCGAAGACGAUUAGAUACC
rnacentral:rRNA from 1 species